AGAGUNNNNUCCUGGCUCAGAUUGAACGCUGGCGGCAGGCCUAACACAUGCAAGUCGAGCGGCAGCACGGGUACUUGUACCUGGUGGCGAGCGGCGGACGGGUGAGUAAUGCCUAGGAAUCUGCCUGGUAGUGGGGGAUAACGCUCGGAAACGGACGCUAAUACCGCAUACGUCCUACGGGAGAAAGCAGGGGACCUUCGGGCCUUGCGCUAUCAGAUGAGCCUAGGUCGGAUUAGCUAGUUGGUGAGGUAAUGGCUCACCAAGGCGACGAUCCGUAACUGGUCUGAGAGGAUGAUCAGUCACACUGGAACUGAGACACGGUCCAGACUCCUACGGGAGGCAGCAGUGGGGAAUAUUGGACAAUGGGCGAAAGCCUGAUCCAGCCAUGCCGCGUGUGUGAAGAAGGUCUUCGGAUUGUAAAGCACUUUAAGUUGGGAGGAAGGGCAUUAACCUAAUACGUUAGUGUUUUGACGUUACCGACAGAAUAAGCACCGGCUAACUCUGUGCCAGCAGCCGCGGUAAUACAGAGGGUGCAAGCGUUAAUCGGAAUUACUGGGCGUAAAGCGCGCGUAGGUGGUUCGUUAAGUUGGAUGUGAAAUCCCCGGGCUCAACCUGGGAACUGCAUUCAAAACUGUCGAGCUAGAGUAUGGUAGAGGGUGGUGGAAUUUCCUGUGUAGCGGUGAAAUGCGUAGAUAUAGGAAGGAACACCAGUGGCGAAGGCGACCACCUGGACNGAUAC
rnacentral:rRNA from 1 species